AACGAACGCUGGCGGCAUGCCUAACACAUGCAAGUCGAACGAGACCUUCGGGUCUAGUGGCGCACGGGUGCGUAACGCGUGGGAACCUGCCCUUGGGUUCGGAAUAACUCCCCGAAGGGGGUGCUCAUACCGGAUAAUGUCUUCGGACCAAAGAUUUAUCGCCUUUGGAUGGGCCCGCGUUGGAUUCGCUAGUUGGUAGGGUACAAGCCUACCAAGGCGUCGUUCCAUAGCUGGUCUGAGAGGAUGAUCAGCCACACUGGGACUGAGACACGGCCCAGACUCCUACGGGAGGCAGCAGUGGGGAAUAUUGGACAAUGGGCGAAAGCCUGAUCCAGCAAUGCCGCGUGAGUGAUGAAGGCCUUAGUGUUGUAAAGCUCUUUUACCCGGGAUGAUAAUGACAGUACCGGGAGAAUAAGCUCCGGCUAACUCCGUG
rnacentral:rRNA from 1 species